rnacentral:rRNA from 1 species
UGGGGAAUUUUGCGCAAUGGGGGAAACCCUGACGCAGCAACGCCGCGUGAGUGUUGAAGGCCUUCGGGUCGUAAAGCUCUGUCAGAGGGAAAGAAAUGCGGGAGGGUUAAUACCCCUUUUGCUUGACGGUACCCUCAAAGGAAGCACCGGCUAACUCCGUGCCAGCAGCCGCGGUAAUACGGAGGGUGCGAGCGUUGUUCGGAAUUAUUCGGCGUAAAGCGCGGGUAGGCGGUCUUUUAAGUCUGAUGUGAAAGCCCCGGGCUCCACCUGGGGAUUCCUUUGGAAACUGGGAGACUUGAAUACGGGAGGGGUUGGUGGCAUUCCUAGUGUCGGCGUAGAAUCCGUGGUUAUUAGGGGGAA